rnacentral:rRNA from 1 species
GACGAACGCUGGCGGCGUGCUUAACACAUGCAAGUCGAACGGAAAGGCCCUGCUUUUGUGGGGUGCUCGAGUGGCGAACGGGUGAGUAACACGUGAGUAACCUGCCCUUGACUUUGGGAUAACUUCAGGAAACUGGGGCUAAUACCGGAUAGGAGCUCCUGCUGCAUGGUGGGGGUUGGAAAGUUUCGGCGGUUGGGGAUGGACUCGCGGCUUAUCAGCUUGUUGGUGGGGUAGUGGCUUACCAAGGCUUUGACGGGUAGCCGGCCUGAGAGGGUGACCGGCCACAUUGGGACUGAGAUACGGCCCAGACGCCUACGGGAGGCAGCAGUGGGGAGUAUUGCGCAAUGGGCGGAAGCCUGAUGCAGCAACGCCGCGUGCGGGAUGACGGCCUUCGAGUUGUAAACCGCUUUCGCCUGUGACGAAGCGUGAGUGACGGUAAUGGGUAAAGAAGCACCGGCUAACUACGUG